rnacentral:lncRNA from 1 species
CAUAUAUUGGGGCUGAUGUGUACUGUAGUCCUUGCUGCUGUCCAGUAGUGAUGGGAGUGAGCGCAGGACUUAUCUUUCUGCAAGAUAGCAGUACUGUAUAUUAGAAAAGAAAUGACUCACAGGUUGUACCUGAUAGACCUACUUAAAUCUUUUUGCUUUAUUCUUUCUGUCGCAUAGAAGUAUAAGUUUAUUACUCUGUUUUAUUGUAAGUUAUUUCACAUGGGAACUGUGUGCCUGGAAUGAUUGUUGCUUUAAAAAUACUAUAAGCCCACUACACUUAUUAUGAGAGUGGGAUAGUGUAAAUGUGUUACAUUGUUUGCAUGAUGAGCUCAGUAUAUUUUAUAACUGAGACAAAAAGUCACUUCAUUAGUAUUUGAAAGUUAAUUCCCCAUAUGGGAUUAAUUGUAUAGAAACACCAAUCAGCACAUCUUCCCUGCCCUGUGUGUUUGUUGCAAAAGAUCCAUACUGUAAAUAUAAUUUUAUGUUUGAAAAUAACAGAGCAACAUUUACAUUUUCAGCGGUCCAACACAUGCUUUAUUUUGCACUGUAAACUAACCUUUUUAUUGCAACAGGUUCCUUUUAAAUGAUCCAGUGUAAUAACUACUGCUUGUGUCUUCUAUGUCUCACAUUAUGUGUUAUUUUAAAUUGUGGUAUAUAGCCUGAAUCAGACAUCAUGGACAAAAGGUUUUUACCUGUGUUACUAAGGGCUCUUGGAGACUGACCGGUCUAAAGGUUUGCCAUGCCUUUAAAACAUGGUAUAGUAUAAAUUUUUUAAGUCUCUGAGAGUUCUGAAAGAUUCAGGUGAAACCAUGUCUGUUUAAUCUGGUCCAGAUGUUUGUUCAAUUUCUGUAAGAUUUAAGUUGAUGCAGCAUCAUCUCAGAUUAGUUAAUGGUAGUUUUAUACAAAUAGUUGAGUUAUGAGCGCGCUAUAUAAAUGGAUCCUUUCUUUAAAUACAAUACUAUACUAGAUUAAAGUAAUGAAGUUAAUUAAGAAAAUGUAUACAUAAGAAUCCCUAAAAUAAAUCUAAACUAAAAUUGGUAUACUUUCCAAUAAUAUGUUCUGAAUACAGCUGUUAACUCUUUAUUUUGUGUAAAUGGUGAUUGUGAUAAUGUGUGAUAAGUGUGCAGUUUAAC